UAAAAAGGGUGGGGAGUGACUGUGCGCGGUCUGGCGUUGAUAGGGUGAGGGGGAAUGGCUUGAAAUGAAAAGAGUUUAAAAAGAGGUUUGGGUUAGGGCUCAGGAGGAAAUUCUUCCCUCAGAGGGCAGUGAGGCGCUGGCACGGGCUGCCCAGAGGGGCUGUGUUUGCCCCAUCCCUGGAGGGUCAGGGCCAGGUUGAUCCUGGGCUGCCCGAUCCAGUGGGGGCAAUCCCUGCCCGUGCCGGGGCUGGCACCGGGUGAUCUUUGGGGCCGCUUCCAACCCCAACCCUUCCACGACUGACUUCCUGAUCCAGAGCAGCCUGCAGCAGCAGCUGAGACAGGCCCCUGAGCCAGCCAUGGUUUAGCCAAGGAGAUGCUGCGUACUGCCAAGCCCUUCUACAGCAAAACCAUAGCGUCAGGUGUGAUCAGAAACUCAGGUAGUCCUGAAAUCGGUGAUGUGAUUAAGUAUAAAUGUUCAUAAGUGGGAAAUGGGUACGUAUUUGAAGCACUGGUGGAUAGAAAUGUGUUAAAAACACAUUACACUUGGGUCAUGCGUGAGCCUGCCCCCACCUCUUUCACAGGCAGCCCGGUUCCAUGCCUAUUGCUGGUGGGCUCCUGCCCGCUGCUUGCUGUCUGCCUCCGGGUUUGCUUCGACUGCCUUGCAGCAGGAGAUGGCAGAGUUCCCAACCAGCAGCGUGGCACGCCUGUGUGAGAAAUAGAUAUGCUUCAUAUUCUCUUUACCCUAGUGGUUUCCUUCAGAAGUAUGAAUAUUGCUGCCCCUGUGCUCAUUCCAGCUGAACUGUGUACUUUAAUGUUUAUUUCUUAGUUCCAUAGGCACAGAAAUUCUUGGUGAUUCUGGCAAUUUGUCUCUUUUUCCAGAGUAUGGUUUUCCCGUUGCUGGUAAUUCUUGUUAUGAACUCAUAGCUCUUGUUCAGUGUAAUCCCUGCUAUAUGCGUGGCCGGCUGCAAGCUCCGAGCGGGGCUUUUCAGCAGAUGCAGAAUUGUUCUCUCUUCCAUCAGCCUAGGAGCCUGCUCUAACUACCAAAUUUCUUUUGCCUUUCCAUAGCAUUUUUAUUUUUAUUUUUAUUUUUAUUUUUAUUUUUAUUUUUAUUUUUAUUUUUAUUUUUAUUUUUAUUUGUAGUGUCAUAUAUGGGACACACCCUUUAUCCUUUUCACCCCAGAUUUGUCCUUAUACCUUAAUUACCAGGUCAUUUAGUUGUCUGUUUUGGUAAAUGUAUCUAUGUGAAGCAAAGGAUGUUAUGAUUGUUUCAUGUUAGCACACUGGUAUCUCCUUGGCUACUAAGUUUGUCUGGGGAUGAAGACUGCAUGCACGAUAGAAAUAUCGGCACUUUCAGUCUAUAAUCUUGCCUUAAUUUUCUCUCUCAUCAAGGUGGUAUCAGUAAUUAAUGCCCCCAGAAAAUUCAGCUGUCUUUGUUGGUAUCGUUUCAUCCAAGAUCUCCCAGCUAAUCACGGUGUUAUCGUUGCUGUUAGUCCUCGUUUUCUUUCAAGUCCCCAGCUGUUUGGUGCGCGAUACUCUGUCUUUUCUGCAACUGGCGAGUCAAUAGCAGAGCUAAUCUGUUUUGAUUCAUAUCAUGAGGAUGCCACAGGAGCUGGAACAACUUCAGUUGUGCGGUUGCUGCGCAUUUAUUGCUUUUACUCUGGAGAAGGCAAAUAGCUGAAUGAAGAGGAGAUGAGAGGGAAGCUCUGAGAGGUGAGGAAGGGGCCUGUGCAGAGCGAGAAUAAAACGGAGAUAGCAAGGGGCAGAGCAAGUGGAGCAAGGAGCAGAGAUGUGGGGUAAGGAGGCUAAAGGAGUGUGUGUGGAAGAGAAGUGAGAGGAGCUGUGCAGGCAGGUCGGUGUGUCCCACGUGAGGGCAGCUCCCUGCUUCUUUUCAGGUCAGCUCCUUUGCGUCCUUGCAGCUGGCAGUGAGAGAGUGGAAAGGACACGGAGAAUGACGAGGUGAUAAGCCAUGAGGAAUUGCUGCAGGUGCCAGAGCGCCUUGCUGCAGCUUGUCUGAUAGCUGGUGGUGGGAUUUUGUUCCGUGCUCCCAAGGGUGCUGAGGAAACCAGCUGAUGUCAUUGCAGGGCCGCUUCGGGAGGUCGUGGUGAUCAGGGAGAGGUUUCUGAUGAUUAAAAAAGGGCAAACUUCAUACAUGCAUUGAAAGGUGGGAAGAAGGAUUGGGCAGUUAUAAAACAGGCAAUGUAACCUCACUCUCUGGAUGGUGAUGGCACGCCUUCUGGAAACUGUCAGCAUGAGGAGGAGAGGAAGGUGAUUGCGGACAGCCAGCGUGGGUUUGACAAGGGCAAACCGUGCCUAUCCGGCCCGAUUGCCAUCUGUGAUGAGACAGGCUCAGCGAACAAGGGGAGAGCCGUGGGUGUUGUUUACCUUGACUUUAGCAAGGCCUUUGACAUUGUCUCCCAUAGCAUCAUCGUAUCAAAUUGGUGAGGUAUGGACUGGAUAAAUGGACUACAAAUCGGAUGGAAAAUUGCCUGAAUUGCUGAGCUCCGAUGAUGGAGAUCAGUGGGCUAGCACACAGAGUGUACCUGAAGAGGCUGGGAGAACUGGGUUUGUUAUCACAUAAUAAUUUUGAGAAAAUACUUUGCUCUUUAAGGAAUAUAUUUAUUUUGGUGCAAGGAGGAAAACAUACUGGUUGGAGAAGGCAAUUUAACCUCCUUGAAUUUCAAUGUUUGUUUUUAUCACCAGUUCUCAGGCCUUACAAAAGCCUUGGAAUUGAACCCACUCUUUUUUAUUCAUUGGUUUAAACGUUCAUUAAUGGCAGUCCCCUAUUAAAGUCCAGGCAAAACCCACUUAUCUGCAAGUUCUUCAUAAUGUCUUUGAGGCACUUGCUCCUGAAACUUUAUUUCCUGGGUGCUGGAACUGUUUACUCCCAUCUCUGCUAAGUUAGGUAUUUAUUUCAUCUGUGUUUUCUUUUUCUGCAUCUUGAGCAAAGUAACUCGGUGGAACAUGUAAGCUUUGAUGCACGGUUUUUCUCUAGCUGGAAAUUUAUGGUUUUUAAAAAAAAUCAUGCAACUUUGACCAAGUAUACUUGAAAUGCUGUAAUUACAGAUGAUCUAGUUUCACAGCUCACAGACAGAGAAAAUGUGUUUGUUUUACUUUAUUAGAUUUCUUAUAAUAUGUUCAUACAAAAACAAAUGUGCGUAUACACACUCCGUCAAUACUGCCAACUGCAAUUUAUUAAGGUUUAUAAAUUUAUUCCACUAGGUCACUUUAUUGUUAAGCAGACAUUGAAUGCAGAAUCAAUGCUAAAGACGGGGAGGCUAAAUUUCAAAGUAAACAAUCUCAUCUUUCUGUUAAUAGGUUUAUAAGAGACAUUUUUGAGGAAAUCAUAAUUAAUCACAGACCUCGAACCUGGACUGUAUUUCUCUUAAUGCAGUUGCAUUUUUCUCAUAUGAAAAUAAGGGAGAGGAAGUGUCUGGGCAUAAGCAGGAGCUUGCACCGCUGCUCCGCUCCUCCCUGAGAGCUGCGAAGCCCCUCAGUCAGUCACCGUAAUCCAGAGCUGAAACGCGGGGGACGCGUUUUGGGGAUAUAUCUCGUUGCUUUGUGAUGAACUCGGAGGCCCUGGGAGAAUCUCUUGGUGUUGACAGCCCCUGACAGUAAAUGUCACAUGAAUUCGGAGGGAGCUCAGAGCCUUCUGGUGACUGCUAUGAGAAGAGACAUCAUGACAGAAAGCCUGAUUGAUGAGCAAUGCCACGAGUAGAGGGAGCGCUGUGUGGUGAUUGCCUAUAAUUGAAUGGUCCUGUGGAAGUUAUUUCUGGGUUCCCUUUGAACGGUGACAUGCACUCCAGAAGUGUUUUCACAUGGGAGACCUACAGAUUUUAACCCUUGUACUCAGCAAUUCCCUGUUAACGCUGCAUUAACAGACUUUAAAACUUAAUGGGCUGUUUUCACUUCAGGUCCAACGCGGAGCCAUAUCAUAAUAAUUAAACAAGCGUCGACAACCAGCGAUGGUCAGCCAUGCAAUUACCUUUAGAAAUGUUUCAUUGUCAGCUUUCGCCUCCUCCUCUCAGCGCUCUCUCCUCGUGGCUCAGCUCUGUGAUCUGACAGCACGGAGACGUUGAUUAUCAAGGUUCUCCCUGAUUCUGAUGAUGUGCUCCUGUGACACAGACUUGUCGCAGCCGUGUUAAGCACAGCAGUGAUGCUUGUGGCAUUAAAUGGGAAUGUGAGACGUUGUAGCCCCCUCACCCAGCAAAGCAUCUGCUCUCGCUGACCAAUUAAAUUGGCUUCUCUCUCAUUAAAACCCUUGUGCAGACUCUGGUAUGUCACAGAUCUUUAAAAUCUCCAUUACGAUUUCCACUUUCUUCUGGGUAUUUUUAGCUUAUACUUGAAGAAAUGAUUAUUGUCUCUUGCACUUAAACAUAUCAAUUUUGGCUCCACAGACAUCUCCUCUGGGCCAUAUUGAAAGACCUGAGCUGACUUGAACUGCUGAAUCCGUAGGGAGGAUUUCAACACAGCUCUAAGUGCUGGGACAUUGGAGCCGUGCAAGAAGGAAGAGGGAGAGAAAUUCAAGCCCUCCCCCCCCCUUCCCUUUGUGAACCAUUGGAAGCUGCUCUGAGUGUGGAUUCCAACCAGAUUUGUCCUCAACCUGGGCAUUCUUGUACUCGCAUUUCAUGUUGGAUGAAGUUAGAAGCCUCAGUAGCAUUGAGUCUCCCUGCAAGAAGGAUGGAAGAUGGUAAAUGUGACAACAGUCUCUGAGAAGGUCCCCAGGAGUGAAGUGGAGAACUGCAGACCGUCACAUUGGAGUCUCUACUGAGCAAAUCAGAAGCUCUGGCCUCAAACCACUCUGGGUAUGUGAUGCAAUAGCUAGGUGUGCAAGGAAGACAGUAGCUGAAGCAAUUGCUGAAGCAUUAGUGACUGUCCUGGAAGUUCUCGGAAGUGCAGAAAGAAGAUGAAGUUGUGCCUGUUUAGAGCCGUUCUCUUGCAGGCACUUGGAGCCAGCAAAGACCUGGACGCCUGUGCACAUUGCGAGAGCUGAGGCUUGCCAGUGUUCAGCGAUGUAUUCCGCGGAGACCUUGUCCAACAACAAGCACCACUCCUGUCUUCAGGCACGAGCAGGAUUUUACCUGCAAUGCACAGCAGAGGAGCCAGCACGUGCUGGCAGACCUCAGAAGCAAUGCAGAUAGGAGGAUGUAGAAGCACCCACUGCAGAUGACAAGAUGAGAGCAGGGAGAGUACAUGCCUCUUUGAUUUGUCUGAGUAGCAGGACUGAACCAGCGAUGCUGUGGCUGAGGGGAGGCAGAGGUCGGCAGCUGAGGGCUGGAGCUGCAGCCACAUCCUCAAAUUGCAGCUGUGGAGUUUGAUGCUGUGGUUGUGCUGGGGCUGCUGGGGGAAGAGCUGGAUUAGCUGAGUGCUGCAGUGCCUCUCAAGCUGGUGAAAGAGCUACAGACAAGCAGCAGAAGCCCCUGGCAAGGAGCACAACCCAAAGGAUAGAAGGAGUGAUGGAGGAUGUGGGCACAGAAGGAGAUAGUCGGGUAAGUGCCCCAAAGUGUUGGCUGACCCUGAGGAGGCUUUAGGGUCCUGGGCACCCCAUUAUUGGUCAGCUGUGCCCAGAAGGUCCAGAGAAGACCUGGCAGGGAUCCCUUGCUACUAGGCAGAGGCCUGGUGAUCCCAGGUAUGUGGCAGUGGGUGGGGGUGCUGUUUCCAGGGCUGUGCAGUGGCAGCACAAGGUUCUGUGCUGCAGAAGCAGCAGCUGGAGCAUGCUCAUCACCUGGGAAAGGCUGAUGGGGUCAAACAAGCAGGAACACAGAUAAAUCUGAGCUGAAGUGUAUGUUUCCCAGUCACUGUUUGAGAGAAACGCUCAGAGGGCCCGGCACCUCUCUUGCAGGGGCAUGGGGGCUGCAGGGGGGCUGCCUCGGGGGGUUAGCUCCUGAGCUGAGGCUGUUUGAAGCAGGGAGUUGGCUUCUGGGCUGAGAUCUGCUUCAUGUGCUGGGGUUGCCUAUGGGCAUGUCUCAUUGGGCUGGCUGGGACUAAAGGUAACAGCUGGCUUGGCCUUCCCCUGUCAGAUGCUCUUCGUUGCAGAUAAAAGCUUUUUCUGAUCAUUUUGGUUCCCGUGGCUGUCAGGGUUCUAAAAAUUGCAAAGGCUGCCACUGUGGGUCAGCCCUGUGGGAUGUCUCAUCUUGUCCAUCUGCCCCAGGAGCGGGUUGGCAAACCGUCCUCCAUUCCUAAAUGGUAAGAACAAGCAUCUCAGUGCUUGAACUACAGCCCACUCAAGGUGGCAGUUGUGCUCUUGCGGGUGCCCUGCACUUUUGGGUGAGCUUUUGCCUGCCUGGCUGUGGAUCGAGCUGCAGCUCCUGCUGGGGAUGUGGAGAUGUGAAGCCUUGGGCUUGGCUGGGACUGCUGGAGCACAGGGUCACAAACCCAGUGCAAAUCUGCAUGCCUGCCUCUGCUCUGGGGAAAACAGGAGCCUGAGCACUACUGGUUAGAGCCGAAGUGUCUGGAGUGCCUGUCCUGCUACUUCUGUAUUAAAACCCACCUUUUCUUUUCCUAGAUGCUUGCUGCUAAGAAUAACUGUUCCUUCACCUCUUGUCCACCCCUCCGCCAGCCGCUUGGGGUCACCAUUUUAGACUUCAUCCUGGAGCUGCAAGAACUAAGCGGUCUCGUUUUCCAGAGACCUUGUUUAAAGAAAAGAACUGGAUUUUGCCUUCGUUUACCCCUUGAACAGCGGUCACGGGUGGAAGGGGCUGGUGGUUGCUAACUUGCUCUGCCCCCUGCAGCCCUCGCUGGGGAGAUGCACCACAGGAGAUGCUGAGCAGAAAUUAAGCACGAUGGCAUCACAAGAACAAGGUUUUGCUCUUGGAAAUAAAAAACGGGGCAAGCCACAACUGAGGCAGUGUGAAUUCUGGUUUAUUCAAUGCAUGGCUUACUUAAUCCCUGCUAACAGAUCACUGGAGCAGGGCUUCACUCCUGAUCACCGACUUGUUCCACAGUUCCUGCACCAGGAAAUCUGCGCUGUGCUGUGCAGCAGCAGUUGUUUCUUUGCAGUGGUGGGGUGCCAGAAGGGGCUGUUUCUCCUUCUUCAGAUAUGCUCCCUUCAGCCUGGCUUGCUCUUUACUCCAUUUUACAAGGCCUCAGCAAGCAUGGCUGGCUACAUACAGAGUACUCCUUAUUCCAGUGUGCUUCAUAAACAUUGCCAUUAAAUGGACAGUAAAAGGCAUUUAUUCACGGGAAGGGCAGCAGGGCACCUGGAAAGACAGGGGCCAUGGCUACUUGACUGGAAGUUACACAGCAAUUGCUGCAGAGACUGAGUUGUGUGAUGGCAGAAAACCCUGGUGGCUUUUUGUUCCCACAUAACUCACUGAGGCUGGGGAGUGAGCUCUGAGCCUCAGCUGCUCCCACUGGGCCCUGCUCAUCUCUGCACUUGAGUCUCAUCUCAUUGCUAUUUAAGAAAGGUCUUUAAAAAAAAACUUCCUUUAUUCAGAGGCUUUUAAGAGAAAUCUCCAAAAAUAUUUUGUUUAAAGGGCAAUGAGAUGAGGUUUAAGUGCAGAGGUGGGCAGGAGGGAGCAGAUAAUGGGGCGAAGCCUCCCUGGAGCAGCUGAGGCUGCCAGACCUCACUCCCCAGCCCAGGUGAGUUGUGUGAGGACAGCUGUGGGUUUUCUGCUGCCACACAGCCCAGUCUCUGCAGCAAUCACUGUUCUUAAAAGCAUACUGGAUGACUAAGUGUAUUACCAGACCAAACCUAUUUCCCCAAAGGGAAUCCUCAAACUUAUUUGUGUCUCCCACUCCCUACAUCACCUAAAAGGGCAGCUGCUGCUUUACCCAGCACCUUGGGCACAGGCAGCCAGCACCUGCUGGGAGCUGCAGCCAGGCAAGGCAAGGAAAACUUCUUCCCCAGGCAGGUGGCAUUGGAAAGGGGGCUGCUUGUCCAUUCUCUGAGAAGGUGAGGCUGAAUGCACAUCCUGACUGCCUUGCUGAAUUUCUGCUAUUGCUUGUUCAGUGUAGGACGUGUUACAAAGAAAAGAAGACAGCUCCGUUACCCUCAUCUUGCAGCCCUUCCUCAGGCACCCAGCCCUUACUCCAGGCUGCUCUCAGGACUGAAGCAAGGACCGUGUCUCCUCUGACCAUUGCCUGGGCUCUGCUGGGAAAAUGGGCAGCAACCCAUGAAACCCAUGAAACAAAACCAGUAUCAGUAAUCUGGCUUUAGCUGCUAAAAAACAGGUAAAGUAAAGAGAUGAAAAGGCGAAGUGAAGGUCUGGGGGAGCCUUUCCCUCCUCCUGU